CCAAUCAUCUCUGCAAUCAGAGCUUUUAAUUAGGUUAAUUAAAUUGUAUCAAACCUCGCAGGGACGCAGUUCACUGAUGCUGAUGAGGCAGCCAAAACAGACCUUAACUCCAGCUCUAAUGAAGGCCCUGCUGCAGCUAAUGACAAUGCAUAAUAAAUUAGAGCUUCCCUAGAAAGCUCACCUUCCUGCUCUCGAGGCACCAAAAGCUGCCGGGAUAGAAAUCCAGCAAAUAUUUGCUGUUUUCAACUUGGCCUGCUCUGAUGAUGCUCAUCUCCCAGCAGAGACAGCAGCAGUGCCCUUGGGCUGCUCACCUCGGCUGAACCCCACGUGAGGACAACAGGAUCUGGGGGUGGCUGUGUCCCUACAUCACUGCCAUGGGGAGCACUGGGACAGCAGCACUUGGAGCAGAGCCCCCCAGCACCUGGGCAUGAGAUAAACAAGAGACCGAUUCCUGAAGUGCAUGAAAACUGCAGAGAGGCCUCCCAAAAUGCAACUUGUUUGGUCAUGUUUACCCACGAGGAGCUGAUGGUUUUCCCAGCAUAAAAAGGUGUUACU
rnacentral:lncRNA from 7 species